CACGUAGGGCGCAAGCGUUGUCCGGAAUUAUUGGGCGUAAAGAGCUCGUAGGUGGUUUGUUACGUCUGCUGUUAAAUCCUAGGGCUUAACCCUGGGCUUGCAGUGGAUACGGGCAGACUAGAGGUAGGUAGGGGAGAAUGGAAUUCCUGGUGUAGCGGUGAAAUGCGCAGAUAUCAGGAGGAACACCGGUGGCGAAGGCGGUUCUCUGGGCCUUACCUGACACUGAGGAGCGAAAGCGUGGGGAGCGAACAGG
rnacentral:rRNA from 1 species